rnacentral:rRNA from 1 species
AACAGGAUUAGAUACCCUGGUAGUCCACGCCCUAAACGAUGUCAACUAGCUGUUGGGGGCUUCGGCCCUUGGUAGCGCAGCUAACGCGUGAAGUUGACCGCCUGGGGAGUACGGUCGCAAGAUUAAAACUCAAAGGAAUUGACGGGGACCCGCACAAGCGGUGGAUGAUGUGGAUUAAUUCGAUGCAACGCGAAAAACCUUACCUACCCUUGACAUGUCUGGAAUGCCGAAGAGAUUUGGCAGUGCUCGCAAGAGAACCGGAACACAGGUGCUGCAUGGCUGUCGUCAGCUCGUGUCGUGAGAUGUUGGGUUAAGUCCCGCAACGAGCGCAACCCUUGUCAUUAGUUGCUACGAAAGGGCACUCUAAUGAGACUGCCGGUGACAAACCGGAGGAAGGUGGGGAUGACGUCAAGUCCUCAUGGCCCUUAUGGGUAGGGCUUCACACGUCAUACAAUGGUCGGGACAGAGGGCAGCCAACCCGCGAGGGGGAGCCAAUCCCAGAAACCCGAUCGUAGUCCGGAUCGCAGUCUGCAACUCGACUGCGUGAAGUCGGAACCGCUAGUAAUCGCGGAUCAGCAUGUCGCGGUGAAUACGUUCCCGGGUCUUGUACACACCGCCCGUCACACCAUGGGAGUGGGUUUUACCAGAAGUAGUUAGCCUAACCGCAAGGGGGGCGAUUACCACGGUAGGAUUCAUGACUGGGGUGAAGUCGUAACAAGGUAACC